rnacentral:lncRNA from 1 species
UUCCUCUUUCGGCCCUACCUCCUUUCGCCACCGCCGCCGUUCCGCCGCUGCUUCCCCCGUCCGGCGGGGUCACCGAUGCUUAUCCUUUCCUUUCUCUUCUCUCUUUCUUUAUCUUUUCUUUCUUUUUCUUCUUUUCUUUCUUCUUUCUUUUUUUCUUCUUUCUUCCUCCUCCUUCUCUCGGCUGUUAUGGUUUAUAUUUCUGUUUAAAUGGUUGAAAAUAAUUAGUUAAGAGCUGCGUCUUUAUUAUUUUUGUAACACCCCCUAACCCCAAACCGUCGCCGGAACAGGGUUACGAGGCAUUACCAGACAUACCAAGCAAUUUA